rnacentral:lncRNA from 1 species
CCAGAUGCCCCUUUUCCAUCAGCGGUUCCACAUUGAAGAUCCUCACCCCGGAAUCCAUGGCCACGCAAAAGCAGCUCUGGUCCUGGUUGAAGCGCAGACUGUUGACCCCGCGGCCCUGCGCCAUGGCGGCGGGCUGAACCGGGAGGGGGGGCUGUCCCCGAGACCCCCCCGACCCAAUCUGUCCUUUUUCGGGGCCUUUUGGGGUUUUUUUGCCCCUCCGGAGCGAUCCGGAACGGCUCCGGCCCCGCUUACACCAUCG